rnacentral:rRNA from 1 species
CAGCCGCCGCGGUAAAACGUAGGGUGCAAGCGUUAAUCGGAAUUACUGGGCGUAAAGCGCACGCAGGCGGUUUGUUAAGUCAGAUGUGAAAUCCCCGAGCUUAACUUGGGAACUGCAUUUGAAACUGGCAAGCUAGAGUCUUGUAGAGGGGGGUAGAAUUCCAGGUGUAGCGGUGAAAUGCGUAGAGAUCUGGAGGAAUACCGGUGGCGAAGGCGGCCCCCUGGACAAAGACUGACGCUCAGGUGCGAAAGCGUGGGGAGCAAACAGGAUUAGAUACCCCAGUAGUCCCUGUCUCUUAUAC